GCUGGGUGCCAGGACAAACACUUCUGGACUACUACCACAGUAUCAGGCUUUUAUGUCAUAAUACAGGUGCACUGAACUCUGCUGCUGACCUAGGGCUGCUUAUAUGCAGGUGUCAUCAACUUUGAAUAUGUAAGAAGAAUCAAUCUUGCUCCCCAGAACUUGCCCAAUAAGCAAAACACUUCUUAGGAAAAAAUAAGCACUGUAAAAACCUGAUUUGGAGAAGACUUCAACUUGGACUUAUGUGCUUCGAGUUGCAUCUUAGAAAUAUAAGGAGGAAUAUGGUUAACCAUGGACUGGCAUCCAUUCACUUUGAUGCACCCUAGUAUUCUCCAGCAUAUGGAGCUAACAAAUGUGACCUGGGAACUAUCUGUCUGGAAACUUGCAAGUAAUGAAAAAGGAGACAGGUAGUAGGGGAAAGACAAAGGUUUUUGCCAAAUGACGUAUGUUCUUUUAAAAAUCUGUGCCUUCUCUGGGGUGCUACUGUACAAGAUGGCUUCUACUGGGCAAUUAAUUCAGCUAUAAAUAAGAAACCCAGCUGACUCCAUAAAACCGGCCCCUGGGUUGGCUGACCGGAACUUCAAUCAAUUACAUUCCAUCCUAAGCAGCAGACAACUCACUGGUCUGGGAGUUGGACGGUGAAAGAUCAGACCAACCAGCUAUCCAAACUUUUUUCAAAUUCCCUU